rnacentral:lncRNA from 1 species
AUUUAAGCUUUUGCUGGAGAAAGAAAGAUCCAUCCACUAUGCGAGCUUUCCAUGGAGGUUCUCCAGCAGGUCUAGGACGAAGCUUGGGCUCGUCUUGACUGCAAAACUCCAAGAAAGGUGGUCGUGAACCCGCAGAGAACGAGGCCGUCGAGCUCUUCACUGUCGAGUUGCCAGUCCCGAUCACAUCAGCACAGGUUCAGUAGUCUUGGGCUCGAAGAUCUCUCGACAAUUGGGGUAAUUAACGAACUGAGGUGUGCUGGACUGCGCUAUGCCAAGAGUGAGCUUGCUUUCAAACUUUAUCUACGCUGAGAUGAAAACCAGCGCUGACGACGUGACUUUCGUGGUGGCUCUCACAGCUGGAAAGAAAAUCGAAGCCAAGACCAACCGAGACUCUUGGAAAUGUGUUUUGAUGGGAUUCAUAUAUUAGUAAAUUACAGUAACUUUGAAG